AGAUGAGGGGGUAGGGAUGGAGGCAUCAUGUAAUUUCCGUUAGCUAUUUAAAAAGGGGGCAGAAAUUCCAGAAGGAAGAAGUUCCUUCUAAUGGGAAUUGCACAGUUCGAGAAGAAAUGCUGCAAAGCUAAGCUGAAAAAUGGAUAUUGUGGCUGUCCUUCAAGCAUUGUUGCAACAUAAACCUUGCUACAUUGAUCCCUACAGCAAAAUAUAGGUACAUCAUUCUUCCAGGGGAGAGAUGAGAGAGCGCUCAAAACCAAAAAACCCAAAACUUUUUAUACCUGGUGGGAGGGGAAUGUGCAGUGAUGCAUCAUGGAACUUGUAUGCUUAACAUGAGGGACGGCAAUACCAAUGUUUGCUUAUGUAAUAAAGCAGAUUGACAUUUUA